rnacentral:rRNA from 1 species
UACGGGGGGAGCAAGCGUUGUUCGGAUUCAUUGGGCGUAAAGGGUGCGUAGGCGGCGCGGUAAGUCGGGUGCGAAAUCUCGGGGCUUAACUCCGAAACUGCAUUCGAUACUGCCGUGCUUGAGGACUGGAGAGGAGACUGGAAUUUACGGUGUAGCGGUGAAAUGCGUAGAUAUCGUAAGGAAGACCAGUGGCGAAGGCGGGUCUCUGGACAGUUCCUGACGCUGAGGCACGAAGGUCAGGGGAGCAAACGGG